UCCUGGUGUAGCGGUGAAAUGCGCAGAUAUCAGGAGGAACACCGAUGGCGAAGGCAGGUCUCUGGGCCAUUACUGACGCUGAGAAGCGAAAGCAUGGGGAGCGAACAGGAUUAGAUACCCUGGUAGUCCAUGCCGUAAACGUUGGGCGCUAGGUGUGGGGCUCAUUCCACGAGUUCCGUGCCGCAGCUAACGCAUUAAGCGCCCCGCCUGGGGAGUACGGCCGCAAGGCUAAAACUCAAAGGAAUUGACGGGGGCCCGCACAAGCGGCGGAGCAUGCGGAUUAAUUCGAUGCAACGCGAAGAACCUUACCAAGGCUUGACAUACACCGGAAUCAUGCAGAGAUGUGUGCGUCUUCGGACUGGUGUACAGGUGGUGCAUGGUUGUCGUCAGCUCGUGUCGUGAGAUGUUGGGUUAAGUCCCGCAACGAGCGCAACCCUCGUUCCAUGUUGCCAGCACGUGAUGGUGGGGACUCAUGGGAGACUGCCGGGGUCAACUCGGAGGAAGGUGGGGAUGACGUCAAAUCAUCAUGCCCCUUAUGUCUUGGGCUUCACGCAUGCUACAAUGGCCGGUACAGAGGGUUGCGAAACUGUGAGGUGGAGCUAAUCCCAAAAAACCGGUCUCAGUUCGGAUUGGGGUCUGCAACUCGACCCCAUGAAGUCGGAGUCGCUAGUAAUCGCAGAUCAGCAACGCUGCGGUGAAUACGUUCCCGGGCCUUGUACACACCGCCCGUCAAGUCACGAAAGUUGGUAACACCCGAAGCCGGUGGCCUAACCCUUGUGGGGGGAGCCGUCGAA
rnacentral:rRNA from 1 species